rnacentral:RNase_P_RNA from 1 species
GAGUUGGCCAGGUAGCCGCUCGGGUGUGAUGCAUGCGUGCAGAGCACUCGGGAGGAAAGUCCGGGCUCCACAGGGCAGGGUGCCAGGUAACGCCUGGGGGGCGCGAGCCCACGGAAAGUGCCGCAGAGAGCAGACCGCCUAAGGCGCGUCGCCUGCGAUUGGUAUCGCGGUGGCGCGAACGGCAAGGGUGAAAGGGUGCGGUAAGAGCGCACCGCACGCAUGGCAACAUUGCGUGGCAGGGUAAACCCCACCUGGAGCAAGGCCAAAUAGGAAUCCAAAGGCGCGGCCCGCGCUGGAUUCGGGUAGGCCGCACGAGGUAUCCGGCGACGGGUAUCCUAGAUGAAUGGCUGCCGGCCCGUUGGCGUGAUUCUCAUGCCGGCGGGUCACAGAACCCGGCUUAUCGGCCAACUCAU